GGGAGGCGCUGAGAUUCCGGGUCCCGCAGCCGCGGGCAGCGGGUGCCUGUUAGCUACCGUGGCUCUCGGUCUCUUCUUUUCGCCUUUUUGGGGUUAUUAUUAUUACUACUUUUUUUUUUUUGUAAUAGCAGCAGGUGCAACCUUUUGUAUUUUCAAAGCAUUGAUUUUCAUUUUCGUGUGGGCAGACACCGGAUCCACCUGAGAGCACGGGGCUAGGAGAGCAGCCCAGGCUGCGUCAGAGUCUCAGGGAAUAGAAUUCAGCUCGGUUCUCCGUCCCAGCCCUCUGAGAAGGCGGGAGGGAAUGUUUGAGUCCCGGACGACUUUUCCCGUCCGGAGAGCGGCAGCCAGUGCAGCCGGUGGCUUGAGGGAGGAAGCUGUGUGUGAGUUUCCUAGGUGUCUAGUAUCUCCUCUUAGAGACUGGUCUAAGAAUCGCUGAAGUUGAUGAAGUGGAGAAGACCCUCAUCUGCAGAGGAGGGAGCUUCCUCCAAUCUAUAUUUCACAGAUAUCUGGAGUUCAUGUGUGGAAUGAAGGAGACCCAUCUUCUUGUUCUCCAGUGGGUAAUGCCAUAGCCUGCAUACAUCACUCAAGGCCUAUCUCCCUCCUGCAUCCAUGUCACACAGAAUCUGUCUCUGUGGGCUCUGUGUUCUGCUGUGUUGUCAGGGGCUAGUACCACAGUUUCACUAUAAUACUAUAAUAAUAAAACAAUAUUAUAAGAUUUGAUAUGUAGGUGGUAAAAUUUUUCCUGUUCCUUUUAGUUUUAUCUUUGAACAAUUUUGGCAUUUUAACUCUUUCACAUAGAUUUUGGGGUCAUCGUGUAUAGCUUUAUUGGAAAAAAUGCCACCCAAACUUGAAUUGUAAUUGCACUAAAUUUACAUAUUAAGUUGCAUUCAAUGUAUGUAUUGUUUAUGUGAUCAAAAAUUUCCAACACUGAUUAUAGUGCAUUUAUCUGUUUUGUUUGUUUCACGAUUUUCAUUAACAUUUUGAAAAUAUUGUUUCUUUGUAGAUUAAAAAGUAAUUUAUUCCCCUUAACCAGGUCACCUUGUCUGGUCUCAGUGGGAGAGGAUGUGCCUAGUCUUGCAGUGACUUGAUGUGCCAAAGUGGGUUGAUAGCUGGAGAGAAGGGCUUUCUCUUCUUAGAGGAGAAUGGGUGGGGCUAGUUGAGGGGGGUACCAGGAAGAGUUGGAGGGCUGCAAUUGAGAUGUAAACUGAAAAAUAAAUUAAUGAAAACUAUUUAAAAAAUAAAAA
rnacentral:lncRNA from 1 species